CUAUUACUCCCUCCGUCCAAAAAAGAAUGUCUCAACUUUGACUAAAUUCAAAAAAAUUCAAAUUGAAUACAUCUAUACACUAAGUUAUGUCUAGAUAUAUUCAAAUUUUGGCAAACUUGAGAUAUCCUUUGUUGGACGGAGGGAGUAUAAG
rfam:Brachypodium distachyon strain Bd21 chromosome 1, whole genome shotgun sequence.